rnacentral:rRNA from 1 species
AGCUCCAAUAGCGUAUAUUAAAGUUGUUGCAGUUAAAAGCUCGUAGUUGAAUUUCUGAUGGUCCAUGAGGACAAGCCGACAGGUUCUGACCUUUUUGGACUCUUCAUCCUUCUGUUAACCCUUCUUGGCAUUUAUUUGCUGGUUGGGGGCUCAGAUACUUUACCUUGAGCAAAUUAGAGUGUUUCAGGCAGGCUAUCGCUUGAAUACUUCAUUAGCAUGGAAUAAUAGAAGAGGACUUCGCUCAUUUUAUUGGUUUGAUGAUCGAAGUAAUGAUUAAUAGGGACAGUUGGGGGUAUUAGUACUAAAUUGUCAGAGGUGAAAUUCUUUGAUUUGUUUAAGACUAACUUAUGCGAAAGCAUUUACCAAGAAUGUUUUCCUUAAUCAAGAACGAAAGUACGCA